UUCUUUUUUUAAGAUUAAGCCAUGCAUGUGUAAGUGUAAAUAUUCUAUUCUGAGACUGCGAAUGGGUCAUUAUAUCUCUUAUAUUUUAUUUGGUAUAGUGCCCGACCUGGAGGCCUAACUGAUUCUAUGGCUAAUACAUUACUUGCUGCUCCUCCCCACCUCUGGAAUGGGAGUGUAAACCAUAUGCUUCAUCAUGAUAGUGAGACUGAUUAACCAAUCAUAUUAACUGCUUAAUGCACCGGGGCUUGUGUCGAGUAUGUGCCCUAUCAAUUUCCGAUGGAUCAAUUGGCGACUACCAUAGAAAGGACUACCAACGAAUAAUUGGGGAACGAUUAAUAAGGGGGAGACUGCGAGAAGGCUACCUCAUCCAAGGAUAGCACCUGCCGCGAAAGUUACCCGCUCCUGACUCACGGAAGUAUGACCCAUGGAUGACGAUGCAAUACUAUACGACUUGCGAUUGAAUUGAGAACAGUGAUCGACUCUAAUCCAUAGUCCAUUGCUUGGCAAGUAUGAUGCCAACAGCCGCUGUAAUUCCAGCUCCCGUAGCAUAUCUUAACCCUGUUGCAGAUAUUAACCUCAUUGCA
rnacentral:rRNA from 1 species